rnacentral:lncRNA from 1 species
GUGAGCUUGGAGUCUUGGAGGCAGGAAAAGAGAGCUGGAAUGUCUGGUUUCAUCAAGAGAAACUUGUUGCCUGCUGCAUAGGUGAAUGUGGAGAGAGAGCGUUCUCUUAUGAUAGAGGCUGGUGUCUGCAAGCUUUUCCCGCUAGCAAAGCCCCAACAGAAGCAGGAGGGAGCAUUCAGGAAUAUUUGGAGCACAGAGCAUGUAAACUGAAUGGUGUGCGUGUAGGUAUCGCUCUCAGGGAGAAGAAAGCCUUCUGCCAAACAGGGCUUAAGCUUCAAGGUGCUGCUGAAGCCCUGUAGCCCUGGAAGGCUAUUUCAACUUUAAAGAAAGGCUUGUGGAUGGCUGUAAGAGAGUGCUUCUCAAACAAUUCACCUGUGCUUCGUGUGAAAAUGUAGAUUCUGAGCCCAUGGGUCUAGGGUGGAGCUCAAGAUUCUGCAUUUCUAACAAGUUGCCAGGAAUAGCGCCAUUGGAGCCUGAAGGCAGCAGAGGAGAAUCUUCCCUGGAAUUCUUAGGCCCUGAGGUGACAGAGGGGGAGUACCUUGUUGCUGGUCACAUAGCUGCAGAUUCCAGCAGCAGAUACAAUCUAGAGCCUCAGAAGGCAGGGCUGGAAACUGAACGACAACUUGGCUGUCAGUAUCCUGGGCUUGAACCUGCUCUGGCAUGGAAAACAAGAAUCUCUCAGUUUGUGUUUACGAGAAGAUUGUCGGUUUCACUCCAGCUGAAGGUGAAAAGAAUGUCACCCUCCUCUCAGCCGAGCCGAGCCCAAAGAAUUUGCUGAAGAAAUAUGGCUGAGAAACCCAGUUAUGGAGAGUGGAGCUGAGGAGGCAUAAUUGGCCCUAUUAUGAUACAACUGUUGGUUGGUUCCAUUCCUACUCUUGGAAAAGUGGAUCGAGGAAGACAUCAUGGAAAGAAGUAAGAAUAUGUUAGAAAAGCCAAGAAGUUUCAAAAGAAAUACUGCUCUCUUUCCUUAUGUCUACUGACAAAGAGAAGAAUAAGUCAGAGCUCAGGGCUCUCUGAUCUGCUUGCCAAACAACUUUAGAAAGAUGGAACUUGAUUCUCCAGGAAGUUCAAACCUCAAUCCCUCUAUCAAUAUUAUGAGAAAUUCUGUCAAAGUCAACUCUUUAUCAUCUGGAAUCUAUAGUUAUUCUAAAAUAUUGUCUCUAAUUUAAGAGAACUUUGCAAAUGAAAAGGAUGAAAAUCCUUUAUUUCAAACAUAGAAAAUAAGCACAUAAUAAACCUGUAAAUAUGAUUUGUCCUAAAUGAGAAAGAUCAUCAUGAUAGAAAGGUUUUCAAGUUACUAAAGAUUAUAAUAUUUAACACAAGAUCGAUUUCUAUAAUUUCCCUCAUUUUCCUUGCUCUCCUCUGCAUAUCGGGAAAGACGAAAGGAAUUAGGAUGGAAAAGAAUGACUUACCACAGAGAAAAAUACCUCCUGUCGUAACAGAGGCCCAAGGUCUGGUUAAAGGUACAGUUGGAAGAAAGAGGAAAGAAUAAAUUAAGGGUACAUUUAAAGCGCAGUAAUGAUGGGAAAUAUUAAAAAAAAAUCAUCCCAGUACUUUUGUCUUGUGUCCUGGAAGACUUGUGUUAUUAAUAAGAGGAGAAAAAGGAGAUGGGACGGGAAUAGGGUUACUGAUUGGAGGCAAUAAUGGACCAUCAAAAUGGAUGCAUGUUGCAAGCAAUAAUCCCGUAGAAGAAGAAUUCAGAUGAGAAGCCAAAGUUAAAAAAUUAGAUUUUAGAAUUAUCUGCAUAGAGAUGAUGAUUGUAGUCAUCAAAGUGAAUUAAAUCAUUUGAAAAGUUAGAGGAGUAAGAAAAGAGCUGAUUAUGAAUUAACAUUAAUUUAUUAAUAAAAGACUUCAAACCACGAGAAUUAUAUGAGUAAUAUAUUUUCUGUAUUUCUAACCAUCUUUGUGAUCAACAAGUAGGGAGACAAGCUAAUGCUUUCAAAGUUAGAUUGCUAUUUUUCUUUUGAGUGCUCCCAAAUACAUUAGGCAAAACAGGAUAUUUUCCUUGAGCCUUAAGAGGAUUCCAAUGUGGAGAAUCUGACACAUGCUGAAAAAUGGAUGAAACUUGAGGACGUUACGCUAAGAGAAACAGGCCAGUCAUAAAAAGAUAGAUACUGUAUGAUUCCAAUUACAUGAAGUACUUAAAGUAGUCAGAAUCAUAGCUACAGAAAGUAAAAUGGUGGUUGUCAGGAGCUUAAGGGGUGGCAAUGGUCGGUUAUUGUUUAAAGGGUAGAGAAUUUCAGUUUUGCAAGAUGAAAGGAGUCAGUGGAGAAGGAUGGUGGUGAUGGGUGCAUAUCAUUAUGAAUGUGUUUAAUACCAUUAAACUGUACACUUAAAACGGUCAACAUGGUAAAUUUUAUGUUACG